rnacentral:misc_RNA from 1 species
ACAGGCUACUAUGCCCAGC